CGCGGGAUGGAGCAGCUCGGUAGCUCGUCGGGCUCAUAACCCGAAGGUCGUAGGUUCAAAUCCUGCUCCCGCA
rnacentral:tRNA from 2 species